CGUAACUGCUGUGCAGCGCUCCAUGUCUUUUUCUGAAGGAGGAGUUUCAAUCCCUUUGCAUCCGCUGUCUCUUACAGGAGGAGGGAGAUGUCGAGAUUAGGUAAGUAUAGAGCAAUAGAAGAUGUGGAUCAGAGAAGCACCGCUCUGUGUCUGAGGUCGCUGACUCGUGUGCCGGCACUUUUGCCUUGGGAGAUUCCGAUCUUGGUUAGAAAACGCAGCCCCGAUGCACUUGCGACAAUUCGCAGCCAAGCUCGAUAGGACUGUUGCGAUGGGUGAGUUUUUCUCCACCGAUUCGCAAGGGUAUCCGUCUUAGCGGCAUCAGACACGCGACUGGAAGUAUUAUAUUGAAUUGAGAAACAAUGGGAUGUGUGAACAGAAUAAAGUACACCUGCAACGAGUUUGCAUUGCAUCGUAAGCUCUAUUCGCAUGCUAUGAACUUCUAGA
rnacentral:lncRNA from 1 species